rnacentral:rRNA from 1 species
UAUAUCCUACGGGGGGCAGCAGUGGGGAAUAUUGCACAAUGGGCGCAAGCCUGAUGCAGCGACGCCGCGUGCGGGAUGGAGGCCUUCGGGUUGUAAACCGCUUUUGUUCAAGGGCAAGGCACGGUCUUUGGCCGUGUUGAGUGGAUUGUUCGAAUAAGCACCGGCUAACUACGUGCCAGCAGCCGCGGUAAUACGUAGGGUGCAAGCGUUAUCCGGAUUUAUUGGGCGUAAAGGGCUCGUAGGCGGUUCGUCGCGCCGGGGGUGAAAGUCCAUCGCUUAACGGGGGAUCCGCGCCGGGUCGGGGG